rnacentral:lncRNA from 1 species
AUUCUUCUGCAACACUUGCACUAGGUUAAAUGUCAAUCGUAUUGAACGUUUAGCCCUAGAAUAAUUCUUAAUCAUUGAUCAACCAUCCGAUCGGAUUAUGAACUCUAAUGUGUGUGACCUCAUAGGUUCGAACGUAAGCUGAUAGCAUAGAAAUAAAGUUUUAUACCAAUCAAAGUGAUCAUCUAGCAAUGGUACCCGA